AGAUAGAGGACGCAUCACCGCAGGAGUAACCGGAGUGUAUCAGGAUCGGCAGAUCCCGUUCCGGCGGAAGGGCGGGGUGCCGAAGCGGUUCGUUCUGCCGGGCGGAUUUGCUGGGCGGAUGUUUUAAGAGGCAUCCGACUGUCGCUGGCUGCGGAGCGCUAUCCUG
rnacentral:ncRNA from 1 species